UACGGAGGGUGUAAGCGUUGUUCGGAAUCACUGGGCGUAAAGCGCACGUAGGCGGAUUCGCAAGCCAAUUGUGAAAGCCCGGGGCUCAACCUCGGAAUUGCAGUUGGAACUGCGAACCUUGAAUGCUCGAGAGGAUGGGGGAAUUCCUGGUGUAGAAGUGAAAUUCGUAGAUAUCAGGAGGAACACCUGAGGCGAAGGCGCCUGUCUGGCGGUGCAUUGACGCUGAGGUGCGAAAGCGUGGGUAGCAAACAGG
rnacentral:misc_RNA from 1 species